GACGAACGCUGGCGGCGCGCUUAACACAUGCAAGUCGAACGGAAAGGCCCUGCUUUUGUGGGGUGCUCGAGUGGCGAACGGAUGAGUAACACGUGAGUAACCUGCCCUUGACUUUGGGAUAACUUCAGGAAACUGGGGCUAAUACCGGAUAGGAGCUCCUGCUGCAUGGUGGGGGUUGGAAAGUUUCGGCGGUUGGGGAUGGACUCGCGGCUUAUCAGCUUGUUGGUGGGGUAGUGGCUUACCAAGGCUUUGACGGGUAGCCGGCCUGAGAGGGUGACCGGCCACAUUGGGACUGAGAUACGGCCCAGACUCCUACGGGAGGCAGCAGUGGGGAAUAUUGCACAAUGGGCGGAAGCCUGAUGCAGCAACGCCGCGUGCGGGAUGACGGCCUUCGGGUUGUAAACCGCUUUCGCCUGUGACGAAGCGUGAGUGACGGUAAUGGGUAAAGAAGCACCGGCUAACUACGUG
rnacentral:rRNA from 1 species